rnacentral:rRNA from 1 species
GAUGAACGCUGGCGGCGUGCCUAAUACAUGCAAGUUGAGCGAACGGACGAGAAGCUUGCUUUUCUGAUGUUAGCGGCGGACGGGUGAGUAACACGUGGAUAACCUACCUAUAAGACUGGGAUAACUUCGGGAAACCGGAGCUAAUACCGGAUAAUAUUUUGAACCGCAUGGUUCAAAAGUGAAAGACGGUCUUGCUGUCACUUAUAGAUGGAUCCGCGCUGCAUUAGCUAGUUGGUAAGGUAACGGCUUACCAAGGCAACGAUGCAUAGCCGACCUGAGAGGGUGAUCGGCCACACUGGAACUGAGACACGGUCCAGACUCCUACGGGAGGCAGCAGUAGGGAAUCUUCCACAAUGGGCGAAAGCCUGACGGAGCAACGCCGCGUGAGUGAUGAAGGUCUUCGGAUCGUAAAACUCUGUUAUUAGGGAAGAACAUAUGUGUAAGUAACUGUGCACAUCUUGACGGUACCUAAUCAGAAAGCCACGGCUAACUACGUG